GUCGUCCGCGCCGCAGCUAACGCAUUAAGUUCCCCCCUGGGGAGUACGGCCGCAAGGCUAAAACUCAAAGGAAUUGACGGGGGCCCGCACAAGCGGCGGAGCAUGUGGCUUAAUUCGACGCAACGCGAAGAACCUUACCAAGGCUUGACAUACGCCGGAAACGUCUGGAGACAGGCGCCCCCUUGUGGUCGGUGUACAGGUGGUGCAUGGUUGUCGUCAGCUCGUGUCGUGAGAUGUUGGGUUAAGUCCCGCAACGAGCGCAACCCUUGUUCUGUGUUACCAGCGGGUUAUGCCGGGGACUCACAGGAGACUGCCGGGGUCAACUCGGAGGAAGGUGGGGACGACGUCAAAUCAUCAUGCCCCUUAUGUCUUGGGCUGCACACGUGCUACAAUGGCCGGUACAAUGGGGGAAAUACCGCGAGGUGGAGCGAAUCCCAAAAAGCCGGCCUCAUUCGGAUUGGGGUCUGGAACUGACUUCCUGAUUUUUCUGAGAAUGAAGA
rnacentral:rRNA from 1 species